rnacentral:rRNA from 1 species
AGAACGAACGCUGGCGGCAUGCCUAAUACAUGCAAGUCGAACGAACUCUUCGGAGUUAGUGGCGCACGGGUGCGUAACGCGUGGGAAUCUGCCCCUUGGUUCGGAAUAACAGUUGGAAACGACUGCUAAUACCGGAUGAUGACGAAAGUCCAAAGAUUUAUCGCCAAGGGAUGAGCCCGCGUAGGAUUAGCUAGUUGGUGAGGUAAAGGCUCACCAAGGCAACGAUCCUUAGCUGGUCUGAGAGGAUGAUCAGCCACACGUGGGACUGAGACCACGGCCCAGACCUCCGUACGGGAGGCAGCGAGUAGGGAAUAGUUGGACAAGUGGGACGAAAGCCGUAGACUCAACGACAAGUCGACCGGCGU